AUGUCCCGUAUUUUUAUACAUUGGGACAACCCGGAUUAACUAUGAUAAGUUAGGGCCAAGAUCAUUCCGGGACUUGAAAUCGGGACUUUUGACCUUCGAUUUUAUUUUGAGACAUAAGUUGUACAUGAAAUUGUUGUCAUGAAAAACUUAGGAAAAAUUGGGACCAAAAUUCAUAUAAUUGGAAGUUGAAAUCUUGCUAAAAAAAGGGCCUUGUGGCCGUGUGGCUUUGAAAUUGGUCCCACACAUGUUGUGGCCAAUUUUAAAUGGUCCAACACUUGUGUGGGCCAUGGACACUUGGAGAAUUAGUGUGGGAGCUUAAAAGAUGACUUCUAAGUCAUCUUUUCUCAUUCAACACUUAGAAAAAAAAAAUCAAGGAAGUGAAGAACAACAACCAACAACUCACGGCCAACCAAGAAAAAAAUCAAGCCCAAUUUUAUCCAUUCCAAAAAUAUUUCUUUGGUGUAAAUCCACUAAUUGGAGGUCCCUAAGUAGCGUGGAAGCGUUGUUGGAGCGAUCAAGCCAUCCGUUUAGUAGAUCGCAAACCCUAGCCUAUUUGUGGAAUUGAAGAAGAAAGACCUUGGGGAGCCCGAGGCGUAGGUUGGGAUUAGCUUGAGUUGGGCUAGCUUGGAGUGCGUACGAGGUACAGACGCACAGUUUGGUUAUCCACCAGUUUAGGACACUCUCUUCUGCUGUUUGGAGUGCUCCUAUUAUUCCGGAGCCUGCCUUUUGGUAUAUAUUCGUUCUUUGCACAUGUAUAUAUUUGUUCAGGGGUACGGCGGGGCCCUGUCCCGCCAUAUGAUUCGGUUGAUCUAUUUAGAGGUCUGUAGACGUAUAUGUGGGUUGUGCCUACUUCUGUACAGGUGUGUUUGUAUGAUCCCACUCGCCAUGGCAGCCAUGUCGGCGUGCAUUUGUAUAUGUUUUGGGCCGUUGCGCCAUUUGAUAGCCUUGUCGGCUUUUGAUAUAUAUAUAUGUACUUAUUUGGUUGCGUUUGAAAUGUGUUUGAGACAGUUUGAUAUAAUGUGAGGCAGCGUGUGAUAUUUGUGCCCGUAUACGCUAUCUGUAUGUGAUUCGGAUUGGAUGAGUGUGUUCGGGUGCCCAGUUCGGGCACUAGUCACGACCUACGGGGUUGGGUCGUGACAGGAAUGCUUACAGAGGGUACAUGGUCAAGCUUGGGGACUAAUUGCUGAUUGUCUUGUCUUAAACUUAAUGAAGGAAGGGACAACUUUCAAUUUCAAGUUUUUAGAUUUCAAAACCUUAUUAUCUUGUUUUUACUUUCCAAUUAUAGCUUUAAUUAUAAGUGUCCUGAUUGCCUCUUUCUUAGUACCUACA